GACGAACGCUGGCGGCGUGCUUAACACAUGCAAGUCGAACGGAAAGGCCCUGCUUUUGUGGGGUGCUCGAGUGGCGAACGGGUGAGUAACACGUGAGUAACCUGCCCUUGACUUUGGGAUAACUUCAGGAAACUGGGGCUAAUACCGGAUAUGAGCUCCUGCUGCAUGGUGGGGGUUGGAAAGUUUCGGCGGUUGGGGAUGGACUCGCGGCUUAUCAGCUUGUUGGUGGGGUAGUGGCUUACCAAGGCUUUGACGGGUAGCCGGCCUGAGAGGGUGAACGGCUACAUUGGGACUGAGAUACGGCCCAGACUCCAACGGGAGGCAGCAGUGGGGAAUAUUGCACGAUGGGCGGAAGCCUGAUGCAGCAACGCCGCGUGCGGGAUGACGGCCUUCGGGUUGUAAACCGCUUUCGCCUGUGACGAAGCGUGAGUGACGGUAAUGGGUAAAGAAGCACCGGCUAACUACGUG
rnacentral:rRNA from 1 species